UACAGGGGGGGCAAGUGUUGUUCGGAAUUACUGGGCGUAAAGGGCCAGUAGGCGGCCAACUAAGUCCGACGUGAAAUCCCUAGGCUUAACCUAGGAACUGCGUCGGAUACUGGAUGGCUUGAAUUCGGGAGAGGGAUGCAGAAUUCCAGGUGUAGCGGUGAAAUGCGUAGAUAUCUGGAGGAAUACCGGUGGCGAAGGCGGGCAUCCGUCGGACCG
rnacentral:rRNA from 1 species